rnacentral:tRNA from 1 species
UUCAAAGUAGGUUAAUUGUAAGACUGCAGGUUUCAUACACCUGAGGUGGAUUUUUCCCUUUGGAG